UACGUAGGGUGCAAGCGUUGUCCGGAAUUAUUGGGCGUAAAGAGCUCGUAGGCGGUUUGUCGCGUCUGCUGUGAAAGUUCGGGGCUCAACCCCGGAACUGCAGUGGGUACGGGCAGACUAGAGUGCGGUAGAGGAGACUGGAAUUCCUGGUGUAGCGGGGGAAUGCGCAGAUAUCAGGAGGAACACCAGUGGCGAAGGCGGGUCUCUGGGCCGCAACUGGCGCUGAGGAGCGAAAGCGUGGGGAGGGAAGAGG
rnacentral:rRNA from 1 species